GAUGAACGCUGGCGGCGUGCCUAAUACAUGCAAGUCGAGCGAACAGACGAGGAGCUUGCUCCUCUGACGUUAGCGGCGGACGGGUGAGUAACACGUGGAUAACCUACCUAUAAGACUGGGAUAACUUCGGGAAACCGGAGCUAAUACCGGAUAAUAUAUUGAACCGCAUGGUUCAAUAGUGAAAGACGGUUUUGCUGUCACUUAUAGAUGGAUCCGCGCCGCGCUAGCUAGUUGGUAAGGUAACGGCUUACCAAGGCAACGAUGCGUAGCCGACCUGAGAGGGUGAUCGGCCACACUGGAACUGAGACACGGUCCAGACUCCUACGGGAGGCAGCAGUAGGGAAUCUUCCGCAAUGGGCGAAAGCUAGACGGAGCAGCGCCGCGUGAGUGAUGAAGGUCUUCGGAUCGUAAAACUCUGUUAUUAGGGAAGAACAAAUGUGUAAGUAACUAUGCACGUCUUGACGGUACCUAAUCAGAAAGCCACGGCUAACUACGUG
rnacentral:rRNA from 1 species